rnacentral:rRNA from 1 species
CUCGCGUGUCGUGCCAGCCGCCGCGGUAAUACGUAGGGGGCAAGCGUUGUCCGGAAUUAUUGGGCGUAAAGCGCGCGCAGGCGGUCACUUAAGUUGGGUGUUUAAUCCCGGGGCUCAACCCCGGUUCGCAUCUGAAACUGGGUGACUUGAGUGUAGGAGAGGAAAGUGGAAUUCCACGUGUAGCGGUGAAAUGCGUAGAGAUGUGGAGGAACACCAGUGGCGAAGGCGACUUUCUGGCCUAUAACUGACGCUGAGGCGCGAAAGCGUGGGGAGCAAACAGGAUUAGAUACCCUGGUAGUCCACGCCGUAAACGAUGAGUGCUAGGUGUCAGGGGUUUCGAUGCCCUUGGUGCCGAAGUUAACACAGUAAGCACUCCGCCUGGGGAGUACGCUCGCAAGAGUG